UAUUUUUAGCGUCAAAUUUAUUUAGAAACACAUUCAAAUACUCGAGAAAAUAUUUUUGGACUAGUUGUUAGCCGGGGUGGAUUCCGGUGUGAUUUUUCAAUUUUAAAACUAAAAAUAAUUAAACAGAUUGCGAAAUUUUGAAACGUUAUGAAUUAGGAAUUAGCUACGACACAAACGUAGUUACUACUGUUUUGGGAGGAAAAGCUAAGAAGAUAUAGAGAAUUGCAUGGUAUUAAUGGUAGACAUGUGCAUGCAUGCAGCAUCCUGAAAUAUUGUAUAAGAAUAUUGACGUACCUAUACCAUUGUACUAAUUAACAAUUUGUCGGCGAAGGUGAUGAUUACAAGCUCAUAUUCAGAGAGGCGAGGUGAAUAUGAGCUUCUAAUCAUCGAGCUUGAGGCGACGAUAUAUUUAGUAUAAAUUUCCAAGUGAAUAUUUCGAGUUUACUUUAAGCACGUUUUUGAUAAAUAUACAAACACGUUCAAGUUAAAACUUUACCUUAAGGUCCUUAAUUAGUGAGGUACUUUUUAUUGUGUCUUGUUUGUUCUUUGUUGCAUGCUGUCGUACCCAAAUUUCCCGAUAUCUUAAUUCGUUCAUGAUAGCUAUACGGUAAGCCGCCAUUUUGAAAAAAAUGUUAUAGUUACUGGCCAGGUGCCGGUUGUACAGGG
rnacentral:lncRNA from 1 species